rnacentral:rRNA from 1 species
UACGUAGGGCGCGAGCGUUAAUCGGAAUUACUGGGCGUAAAGCGUGCGCAGGCGGUUUUGUAAGCCAGAUGUGAAAUCCCCGGGCUUAACCUGGGAAUGGCAUUUGGGACUGCAAGGCUUGAGUGCGGCAGAGGAGACUGGAAUUCCUGGUGUAGCAGUGAAAUGCGUAGAUAUCAGGAGGAAUACCGAUGGCGAAGGCAGGUCUCUGGGCUGACACUGACGCUCAUGCACGAAAGCGUGGGGAGCAAACAGG